GAUGAACGCUGGCGGCGUGCCUAAUACAUGCAAGUCGAGCGAACGGACGAGAAGCUUGCUUCUCUGAUGUUAGCGGCGGACGGGUGAGUAACACGUGGAUAACCUACCUAUAAGACUGGGAUAACUUCGGGAAACCGGAGCUAAUACCGGAUGAUAUUUUGAACCGCAUGGUUCAAAAGUGAAAGACGGUCUUGCUGUCACUUAUAGAUGGAUCCGCGCUGCAUUAGCUAGUUGGUAAGGUAACGGCUUACCAAGGCAACGAUGCAUAGCCGACCUGAGAGGGUGGUCGGCCACACUGGAACUGAGACGCGGUCCAGACUCCUACGGGAGGCAGCAGUGGGGAAUCUUCCGCAAUGGGCGAAAGCCUGACGGAGCAACGCCGCGUGAGUGAUGAAGGUCUUCGGAUCGUAAAACUCUGUUAUUAGGGAAGAACAUAUGUGUAAGUAACUGUGCACAUCUUGACGGUACCUAAUCAGAAAGCCACGGCUAACUACGUG
rnacentral:rRNA from 1 species